rnacentral:rRNA from 1 species
CUGCUGCCUUCCGUAGGAGUUUGGACCGUGUCUCAGUUCCAAUGUGGGGGACCUUCCUCUCAGAACCCCUACUGAUCGUCGCCCCGGUGGGCCGUUACCCCGCCGGCAAGCUAAUCAGACGCAUCCCCAUCCUUUACCGGCCGAAGCCUUUGGUCAUGAAGAUAUGCAUCAACAUGACAACAUACGGUAUUAAUCCGCCUUUCGACGGGCUGUCCCAUAGUAAAGGGCAGGUUGGAUACGCGUUACUCACCCGUGCGCCGGUC